rnacentral:rRNA from 1 species
UACGGGGGGAGCAAGCGUUGUUCGGAUUUACUGGGCGUAAAGGGCGCGUAGGCGGCCACCGCAAGUCAAUUGUGAAAUCUCCGGGCUUAACUCGGAAAGGUCAACUGAUACUGCGGGGCUAGAGUGCGGAAGGGGCAACUGGAAUUCUCGGUGUAGCGGUGAAAUGCGUAGAUAUCGAGAGGAACACCUGCGGCGAAGGCGGGUUGCUGGGCCGACACUGACGCUGAGACGCGAAAGCGUGGGGAGCGAACAGG